AUUGAACGCUGGCGGAAUGCUUUACACAUGCAAGUCGAACGGCAGCACGGACUUCGGUCUGGUGGCGAGUGGCGAACGGGUGAGUAAUACAUCGGAACGUGCCCAGUCGUGGGGGAUAACGUAGCGAAAGCUACGCUAAUACUGCAUACGAUCUAAGGAUGAAAGCGGGGGAUCGCAAGACCUCGCGCGAUUGGAGCGGCCGAUGGCAGAUUAGGUAGUUGGUAGGGUAAAGGCCUACCAAGCCGACGAUCUGUAGCUGGUCUGAGAGUACGACCAGCCACACUGGGACUUGGCCACGGCCCAGACUCCUACUGGAGGCAGCAGUGGGGAAUUUUGUACAAUGGACGCAAGUCUGAUCCAGCCAUUCCGCGUGCAGGAUGAAGGCCCUCGGGUUGUAAACUGCUUUUGUACAGAACGAAAAGGCUCUGGUUAAUACCUGGAGCUCAUGACGGUACUGUAAGAAUAAGCACCGGCUAACUACGUGCCAGCAGCCGCCGUAA
rnacentral:rRNA from 1 species